rnacentral:rRNA from 1 species
AGAGUUUGAUCAUGGCUCAGAUUGAACGCUGGCGGCAGGCCUAACACAUGCAAGUCGAACGGUAACAGGAAACAGCUUGCUGUUUCGCUGACGAGUGGCGGACGGGGGAGUAAUGUCUGGGAAACUGCCUGAUGGGGGGGGAUAACUACUGGAAACGGUAGCUAAUACCGCAUAACGUCGCAAGACCAAAGAGGGGGACCUUCGGGCCUCUUGCCAUCGGAUGUGCCCAGAUGGGAUUAGCUUGUUGGUGGGGUAACGGCUCACCAAGGCGACGAUCCCUAGCUGGUCUGAGAGGAUGACCAGCCACACUGGAACUGAGACACGGUCCAGACUCCUACGGGAGGCAGCAGUGGGGAAUAUUGCACAAUGGGCGCAAGCCUGAUGCAGCCAUGCCGCGUGUAUGAAGAAGGCCUUCGGGUUGUAAAGUACUUUCAGCGGGGAGGAAGGGAGUAAAGUUAAUACCUUUGCUCAUUGACGUUACCCGCAGAAGAAGCACCGGCUAACUCCGUGCCAGCAGCCGCGGUAAUACGGAGGGUGCAAGCGUUAAUCGGAAUUACUGGGCGUAAAGCGCACGCAGGCGGUUUGUUAAGUCAGAUGUGAAAUCCCCGGGCUCAACCUGGGAACUGCAUCUGAUACUGGCAAGCUUGAGUCUCGUAGAGGGGGGUAGAAUUCCAGGUGUAGCGGUGAAAUGCGUAGAGAUCUGGAGGAAUACCGGUGGCGAAGGCGGCCCCCUGGACGAAGACUGACGCUCAGGUGCGAAAGCGUGGGGAGCAAACAGGAUUAGAUACCCUGGUAGUCCACGCCGUAAACGAUGUCGACUUGGAGGUUGUGCCCUUGAGGCGUGGCUUCCGGAGCUAACGCGUUAAGUCGACCGCCUGGGGAGUACGGCCGCAAGGUUAAAACUCAAAUGAAUUGACGGGGGCCCGCACAAGCGGUGGAGCAUGUGGUUUAAUUCGAUGCAACGCGAAGAACCUUACCUGGUCUUGACAUCCACGGAAGUUUUCAGAGAUGAGAAUGUGCCUUCGGGAGCUGUGAGACAGGUGCUGCAUGGCUGUCGUCAGCUCGUGUUGUGAAAUGUUGGGUUAAGUCCCGCAACGAGCGCAACCCUUAUCCUUUGUUGCCAGCGGUCCGGCCGGGAACUCAAAGGAGACUGCCAGUGAUAAACUGGAGGAAGGUGGGGAUGACGUCAAGUCAUCAUGGCCCUUACGACCAGGGCUACACACGUGCUACAAUGGCGCAUACAAAGAGAAGCGACCUCGCGAGAGCAAGCGGACCUCAUAAAGUGCGUCGUAGUCCGGAUUGGAGUCUGCAACUCGACUCCAUGAAGUCGGAAUCGCUAGUAAUCGUGGAUCAGAAUGCCACGGUGAAUACGUUCCCGGGCCUUGUACACACCGCCCGUCACACCAUGGGAGUGGGUUGCAAAAGAAGUAGGUAGCUUAACCUUCGGGAGGGCGCUUACCACUUUGUGAUUCAUGACUGGGGUGAAGUCGUAACAAGGUAACCGUAGGGGAACCUGCGGUUGGAUCACCU